rnacentral:rRNA from 1 species
CGCGGCGGAAUGCUUUACACAUGCAAGUCGAGCGGCAGCGCGGGGGCAACCUGGCGGCGAGCGGCGAACGGGUGAGUAAUACAUCGGAACGUGUCCCGUAGUGGGGGAUAACCCGGCGAAAGCCGGACUAAUACCGAUAUGCUCUACGGAGGAAAGUGGGGGACCCGAAGGGCCUCACGCCAUGGGAGCGGCCGAUGUCCGAUUAGCUUGUUGGUGAGGUAAAGGCUUACCAAGGCGACGAUCGGUAGCUGGUCUGAGAGGAUGAUCAGCACACUGGGACUGAGACACGGCCAGACUCCUACGGGAGGCAGCAGUGGGGAAUUUUGGACAAUGGGGGCAACCCUGAUCCAGCCAUGCCGCGUGCGGGAAGAAGGCCUUCGGGUUGUAAACCGCUUUUGUCCGGGAAGAAAAGGCACCCCCUAAUACGGGAUGCUCUUGACGGUACUGGAAGAAUAAGCACCGGCUAACUACGUGCCAGCAGCCGCGGUAAUACGUAGGGUGCGAGCGUUAAUCGGAAUUACUGGGCGUAAAGCGUGCGCAGGCGGUUCGUAAAGUCUGAUGUGAAAGCCCCCGGGCUCAACCUGGGAAUGGCAUUGGAAACUACGAGCUUGACGUGUGGCCAGAGGGGGGUGGAAUUCCACGUGUAGCAGUGACAUGCGUAGAAGAUGUCGGAGGAACACCGGAUUGGC